rnacentral:rRNA from 1 species
UACGUAGGCAGCAAGCGUUGUUCGGAGUUACUGGGCGUAAAGCGUGCGCAGACGGUUGCGUAAGUCAGAUGUGAAAGCCCCGGGCUCAACCUGGGAAUUGCAUUUGAGACUGCGUAGCUAGGGUGCGGAAGAGGGAAGCGGAAUUUCCGGUGUAGCGGUGAAAUGCGUAGAUAUCGGAAGGAACACCAGUGGCGAAAGCGGCUUCCUGGUCCAGCACCGACGUUCAGGCACGAAAGCGUGGGGAGCAAACAGG